rnacentral:misc_RNA from 1 species
GCCAAAAUCGAUAGCAGCUCAACAGCUGAUGAAACUGUAGUAUUAGUAGUGUUUUCAUUAGAAUUUCAAUUGGUUUUAAGUAAACAAUAAUUUCAAAAACAAAAAAGAAUGUCUUCUGCCCGCAAAUUGUCUCGAGAACUCUCCUAUAGCCCCGAGGGCUCCUUUGAGUACACCGCCCUACAGUUCGCCGUGAGGAGGAACUCGCUGGAACAAGUGAAAUAUCUAAUCGAGAGUGGGACAGAAUUAGACACGGGACCGGACCCGGCCCUACAUUUGGCCCUCCGAAACAAACAAGUGGACAUUGCCAUUCUCUUAUUAGAAGCGGGAGCGAAUUUCGAAUUAAGGGACUCCAAUGGGGACCAACCGAUACACAUCUCUUGCGCCCUGGGCCUCUUGGAGGCGGUUAAAGUGCUUUGCGCCCUCGGGUGCAACCUGGAAACACCCACCCAACAGGGACUCUACCCUUUACACUUGGCGGCCAAAUAUGGACAUAUUGCUGUCGUAAGGUGUUUGUGUGCGGCCGGUUGCAAUAUAGAAGUGAGAAACUUUGAUAAUAUUAGGGCCGACAUAACGGCCCUUAAGUAUGGUUUUAAUGAUAUUGCCGAACUGUUGGACAAGUUAAGGGUCUCAGGGCAUCGGGACCAUUAUGCCAGACAGUUGGUCCCUACGUCCAGGCCAGCCCUAAAGCUCUCCCUGAGGCUCCUGGGGCACUGCGGGGUGGGCAAGACGGCUUUUGUUAAAAGUCUGAAUGCUGGCCUGUUCGGAUCUUUGUUUCGGAGGUCCAGUUCGGCCCACAGUAAUAAAUCCAGGCCAUGUUCUCCUAUCAGCUGCACGCAUAUAGAAAUGGAUGUCACUUCUAGGCAGAACAGUAUUAAUUUUGAACCGGGGGUUAAUUAUCAUUCGACUAGUGGGAUACAUGUGCAAAAUGUGGAUGUGUCUUCCGUGGGGGACGUUACGGUAUGGGACUUCUCGGGGCAAGAAACCUACUUUCCGGUGUACCACCAUUUUCUGUGGCCCACCCCUUAUGCCGUGACGGCCGUUUUGUUCAGGGCGGACGACUCACCCGCGGUACAAAUCCGGCAGGUUUGUUUCUGGUUGAAUUUCUUGCUGGCAAGACAAAAAGCCGACCUGCCGACAUGCGAAUACGGACCUGUGAUCUUGGUGGCGACCCACGCGGACCAAACGCGAGCCACCAAGAACCACCACGGCGAGUGGACGUGUCCCGACGCCCAAAACACCCUGAAAACCGUCCGGAAACUGAUGCCCCACGUGCCGAACCUUAUGGACAAUGUGGUCGUUAUGGACGCCAACAUUCCCGCCUCGCACGCUUUCAAACUGUUUAAAUCGACGUUGGCGGGCGUUAAGCAGAAUUGUUUGCAGAAAACCGUGGGAACCUGGACGGGACUUCUAGAAAACGCCCUAUCGUGGCUCGUAGGGCUGCGCCACGACUACGACCAGUUUCCGGUCCUGAACAAGUCGAACUUUUCCGAUCUGCUCAGGACCAACGUCAACUUGUUGGCCUCGGACGAGCACAUAGACGAACUCUUGGACCAACUUCACGUUAUGGGCGAGGUUUAUUGCGUUCAACACCUGGUGGUUCUCUCUAUACCAUGGCUAGGACAUAAGCUGCUGGGGGAGCUCCUCUCCACUCACUUUAGAGCGCAAGCGCGAGAAAUCGGGGUCUACACCGCGGAAGAUUUUCAGAGUUCGUACACCCAGUGCGACGCCAGUGGGGUCCUGGAGUUGCUGGAGUGUCUGGACUUGUGCGUCCCGUGUGACGUAGACGGUGAAACUGAGUACGAGUUUCCCGUUUAUAUACAAACGGAAACUCUUGCGGGUCUCUGGGACGCCACCGAUAAAAGAUACUCCACUGUGGACGCCAUGUACGGAGGCCUACGACUCUACACUUCCUCGGGGAUGGUUCAUUUGUUCAAGGCGAUAUUUCCCCAUAUACAAGUGAACUUACGCCGUAACUUGGUGACUACUGGUGUUUAUAUGGAAAACGACAGCGAUUUGUUCCAGUGGAGUUCCGGAUCCAAGUUUUGCAACAUGGACAUGGAGGGCCUGAUCACUAUCGAGGAGGAGGAGCAGGAGGAAUAUGUGGAGGUGAAAGUGCGGGGCCCCCCGAUGUCCUCGCAGUGCUGUUUCCAUUUCCUGGAUAAUAUUAUGCAAACCGUUUGGCAGGCCGUUAAUAAAGUUUGUCCGGGACUGUUGGUGGAAACUCACCUGUUGAGUCCGGAAGAGCUCAGGCUGUACUCCGAGGAUCCUUACUGCUACAGCUCCCACCUGGUUACCGCGGCCAUCAUGGAAUCCGAGUCUGUACCAGACGUGAUCCUGUUUAAUCCGAACUUGAACUGUCACGAGACUAUUAGCCAGAUAAUCAUGUUUGACGACAUCGACUUGUCGAGACACAUCCAGUGGGGCUGCGUGCUCGGCGUCCAAGAACUCCCGGGCCCGGUGAAACUGAGACUGUGUGGCCACCUGGACCCGCCGGAGCCCCACGGGAGGGACUGGUGCCUCCUGGCCCUGAGACUGGGACUGUGCCAAAAGAAAAUCGCCGCCCUAGCCUCCCAGCACACUAGCCACUGCAUGAGGCUCCUCACCACCGCUCACUGCACCAUCGGGGCCCUAAUAACGAGUUUGCAUGAACUAGAUAGAGACGACGCCGCCGAAUUGGUGCUGAAAUGCGCGCCGAUAUUCAAAGUGAUUUUGGAGCAUGCGUCCGUUUAAGAGGGUCGGUAAAGUAGGACGGAGGUUUUAUUGAUUGUAAUCUUAAUAUAGAUUCUACAUAAACUUCCUUAAAGAAAUCUGAAGGGGCACAUAAAUACACACGUGAAUACAUCGACGGGAAAAUUAGCUGCGAAGUGUUUAUAACAUUAUUCUUCCUCCCAGGAAAAAUCUGGGAUAAAAUCGCUUACCAAGCAGUCAUUUGUCUUGUAAAAAAUGUCCUAUUUGACCCCAUAUUGCACUCCUAAGAAAAUGGGUGGAGGGAUUGAACUACGUAUGAGCAUUAAAGAAACAUUGAGCUACGCUUCUGAGAAAUUUGAACAUAAUAGUUUAAUUAAUAGAAUUUUUCCAGGGCCGUAAAGUAAAGCAAACCUUUAAGUCAACAGGGUUUUUGGAAAAACAUUAAUAUUUGGCCACUCACUAAAUAUAUUUUAGGUCUGUUGAGUUUAAAAUACUAAGAAAACAUUGGGCUGCUCUACUGCAAAAUUUGAACACUGUAGCUUAGUUAAUAGAACUUUUUUAAGGUUUUGAAGAGGCUUUGGAAAAACAUGAAUGUUUAGCCACCGACUAAAGAUAUUUUGGUUCUAUUUGUUUUAUAAUAUUAAGAGAAUAUUGAACUACUAAACAGUAAAAUUUGAACAUUGUAGUUUAAUUAAUAAAAAUUUCCAAGGCCCUAAAGUGAACCUAAUUCGGACACUUUCCUGUCAAAAGUAGCUUUAGAAAAAAAUUAAUAUUUAGCCGCUGACUAAAGAUAUUUCAGAUCAGUUUGCUUUAUUGUAUUAAGAGAACAUUGAGCUACUUUAUUGUGAAAUUUAAACAUUGUAGUUCAAGUAACAGGGCCCUAAAGUGAACCAAAUUUGAAGACUUUCCUUUUAAAAGUCUCUUUGCAAAAACAUUAAUAUUUAGCCACUGAAUAAGGAUAUUUUAGGAAUGUUUGCUUUAUAUUAUUAAAAGAACAUUAAGCUACUUUGCAGUAAAAUUUGACGGCAAAACCCUUAAACUGAUUGCACGAUACUGGCACAGGCUUACCAUAUUAACAAAGUCUACAUAUUAUUUUAAUUGAAAAUCUAUAUCCCUAGCAACACACACGAUAGUUAAAUAAACGUUUAUUUUUGGUUUACAUCAGGUGUACAUUUUUAGUUGAAUUUCAACUAUAAAUAUCGAAUAAAAUGUCUGCGUGAUAUACGUUAAGGAAUUUAAUAAUAUUAUGUCUAAUCUAAUUCGCGUGCAACAACAAAA